GCAUCUGUAGCUCAGUUGGUUAGAGCGCUGCACCGGAAUCGCAGGUUCGAUUCCUUCCAGGGUGCA
rnacentral:tRNA from 1 species